AUUGAACGCUGGCGGCAUGCUUUACACAUGCCAGUCGAACGGCAGCGCGGGCUUCGGCCUGGCGGCGAGUGGCGAACGGGUGAGUAAUACAUCGGAACGUGCCCAGUCGUGGGGGAUAGCUCGGCGAAAGCCGGAUUAAUACCGCAUACGACCUGAGGGUGAAAGCGGGGGAUCUUCGGACCUCGCGCUAUUUGAGCGGCCGAUGGCAGAUUAGCUAGUUGGUGGGGUAAAGGCCUACCAAGGCGACGAUCUGUAGCUGGUCUGAGAGGACGACCAGCCACACUGGGACUGAGACACGGCCCAGACUCCUACGGGAGGCAGCAGUGGGGAAUUUUGGACAAUGGGCGAAAGCCUGAUCCAGCAAUGCCGCGUGUGUGAUGAAGGCCUUCGGGUUGUAAAGCACUUUUGGCGGGAACGAAAAGGACUGUGCCAAUACCACGGUUCGAUGACGGUACCCGCAGAAUAAGCACCGGCUAACUACGUG
rnacentral:rRNA from 1 species